CCCGCCGGCGACCGGCGCAUGGGUGAGUAACACGUAUGAAACCUGCCCGUAGCAGGGGGAUAAGCGGAAGAAAUUCCGUCUAAUACCGCGUAACAACCCGAGGAGGCAUCUCCUCGGGUUUAAAGGAAGCGAUUCCGGCUACGGAUGGUCAUGCGUCGCAUUAGCUAGUUGGCGGGGUAACGGCCCACCAAGGCGACGAUGCGUAGGGGUUCUGAGAGGAAGGUCCCCCACACUGGUACUGAGACACGGACCAGACUCCUACGGGAGGCAGCAG
rnacentral:rRNA from 1 species